AAACUCGAUUACUCUGACUCCAUUUAAUUAAUAACUUGUAUCUCGAAUCAAUUACCAAGUAACUAGUUUAUCAUCUAUAGGAGAGAGGGAAUGAGAGGGG